CGCCCCUCCCCUGUGUCUUGCGCGCGGGCGCGGCCACUCAGCGGGCGCUCUGCUGACUGAGAGGCUCGGCAAGCAUGAGAGUGAGAGAGCGAGUGAGCAAAAGAAAUGACUAGUGACCAGUUGAGAAAGUCCUGUCUUCCAUUGAGCCAUUUCACUCCUGCCCAUCUACUCUCAACUGCUCAAGAGCCGCUGAACCCUCUGAACACUGUGAGGAUCAGAUGAGACAACGUGUGUGAAAACACCUUACAAAUACAAAGCUGUGAAGAUGUAAAGGAUGGUUAUUACAGAAUGGAGACGGAGUUUCAGUCUUGAUGCCCAAGCUGGAGUGCAAUGGCAUGAUCUCGGCUCACCACAACCUCCGCCUCCCAGGUUCAAGCGAUUCUCCUGCCUCAGCCUCCCUAGUAGCUGGGAUUACAGGUGAUGAGUACAGAAUCAUGGAAUAGCAGCUGUGGAUUAAGAAGAGUGAACAGGGCUGGGUGCGGUGGCUCACGCCUGUAAUCCCAGCAGUUUAGGAGGCCAAGGCGGGCAGAUCACCAGGUCAGGAGAUCAAGACUAUCCUGGCUAACACGGUGAAAUCCUGUGUCUACUAAAAAUACAAAAAAUUAGCCAGGUGUGGUGGCAGGCGCCUGUAGUCCCAGCUAAUCGGGAGGCUGAGGCAGGAGAAUGGUGUGAACCCGGGGGGCAGAGCUUGCAGUGAGCCGAGAUCGCACCACUGCACUCCAGCCUGGGUGACAGAGCGAGACUCUGUCUCCAAAAAAAAAAAGAAGAAGAAGAAGAAGAGUGAACAUACGUGAAUUGAGAUUGGUGUUGUGUUAAAUGAAACAAAGAAAUAAUUUGACAUAUAUAUAAUAUAUUUUUUCAGCUGGAUGAAUGAUUACUAUACAUAGAUGUUAAUUGAUUCAUGUAAAUCACCAGGGUUACAGUUUAUGGGAGCCUUUUAAAAAUAAGUGCAAUUACAUAAUGACCAAGUCUGUAGGGAGGUCUUACCGCCUUUAGAAAAUCAUCCUUCCUUUCAUUCCUGAAUAAGUCACUGCAUUUUGGCUACUAUUAUUUUACCUGUCCGUACCAUGUAUAGUUACUGAUAUGGUUUGGGUCUGUGUCCCUGCCCAAAUCUCAUGUCAAAUUAUAAUUCCCAGAGUUGGAAGUGGAGCCUGGUGGGAGGUGAUUGGAUCGUUGGGGCAGAUUUCCCCUUUGGUGCUGUUCUCAUGAUAGUGAGAGAGUUAUCAUGAGAUUUGAUCAUUUAAAAGAGUGUAGCACCUCCCUCCUGUCUCUCUUCCUUCUGCUCCAACCAUAUAAGAUGUAUUUGCUUUCCCUUCAUCUUUGUCAUGAUUGUAAGUUUCCUGAGGCCUCCCCAGCCAUGCUUCUGGUAUAGCCUGCUUAACUGUGAGCCAAUGAAACUUCUUUUCUUUGUGAAUUAUUUAGUUUCAGGUGUUUCUUUAUAGUGAUUUGAGAAAAGACUAAUACAGUUACUGACAGAAUAGUAUCCCCAUUCACUAUGUGAGUAACUCUUCUUUAAAUGUUGUGGUUUCAUCUAGAGAUUUAUCUUCUGACCCACCAAGGACCAAACCAUGAAUGUAGGGAAUGGGGUUUCAUUUAAAGGCGGCACUGUGAAGUCAGGUAUUUCUGUCAGUCUUUCUGUCAGCACUUUAGGCAAAGCAAAUUGGAAGUGAACUGAACAGAUGGGACCUGUUAAGAGAGACCCUUAGGAAGGUCUCCAGGUGGGGCCGCAAUCCUUAACAUUGCCAUAUAGCAAAUUCUUCUUCUCUUGGUAAUAAAUAGACUAACAGACCAUGAUUAUUUUUCUUAAUCAAAGAACCAAACUCCUAAGCCUUUUUUUAAUAGACAGCCUGCUUUAUAUCUACACUGAUGAAGAAAAUAAGAAAUAUCUAAUAAAGCUUAAGAUGUAUAUCUGCUUAUGCUUAAAGCCUGUUUAUUUAGAAUACCUCUGCCUGCUAGCACUUUUUAGUAGGUAUGUCUGGAGAGAGAUUGGUGAGAAACUCACUCCUUCCUGUCCAAUAUAAGGCAGAACAAAGGUGUGACUGGGUGUCAAUGUCACUGUGGGUUUUCAAUUUCUGCUGAUAGAAAUGUAAAACUUUCUCAGGAGUCUUGGUUUUACAUGCUGGGAAACCCCCUUCCAACUCAGUCCUCAUAGAAACUUACCGGUAGGGGUGAAACUUUUUUCCAAACUCCAUUUCACUCCCUAACUGAGCAAUACCAGGUUUACAUGAUUAGAAAUUCCCAUCUUUAGGCAAAAAUACUGGAAGCAGUAGAAUAAUACUGAGAUAUUGUUUUGCAUUGCAUUUGACAGGAAAUAAGAAACAUGUGAGGUCCUUUUAUGAGUCUCUAUCUUUUGACAUUCUGAAAUUUCUUCCUUAUCAUGAUAUUAAGAAUUAAAGAACACUUUCUGCUGAAGAUGAGAGAUAGAUUCCUAAUUUUGUAAUAUCGUAGAACUAGCACUAAUGCCAGCAGUCUCAGAUUAGUCUUAAAUCACUAACUCUUUUGGGGGAAUAAGGAUGGGGAUAUUCUUAUUGUAUAAGAAUCUUGGGGGUCAGGGGGUUUAUGUAGCUAUUGUGCUGGACUGUAUAAGCUUGACUGCUUUUACGCAUCUUGCACAAAGUGAAAUAAUAAAAUAAUUUUGAAAAUU
rnacentral:lncRNA from 1 species